rnacentral:rRNA from 1 species
UUUUACCUACGGGAGGCAGCAGUGAGGAAUAUUGGUCAAUGGUCGGGAGACUGAACCAGCCAAGCCGCGUGAGGGAUGAAGGUACAGAGUAUCGUAAACCUCUUUUGUCAGGGAACAAAGGCGGGGACGUGUCCCCGGAUGAGUGUACCUGAAGAAAAAGCAUCAGCUAACUCCGUGCCAGCAGCCGCGGUAAUACGGAGGAUGCGAACAUUAUCCGGAUUUAUUGGGUUUAAAGGGUGCGCAGGCGGUCUGUUAAGUCAGCGGUCAAAGCCCGGGGCUCAACCCCGGCCCGCCGUUGCAACUGG